AUUGAACGCUGGCGGCAGGCCUAACACAUGCCAGUCGAGCGGAUGAAGGGAGCUUGCUCCUGGAUUCAGCGGCGGACGGGUGAGUAAUGCCUAGGAAUCUGCCUGGUAGUGGGGGAUAACGUCCGGAAACGGGCGCUAAUACCGCAUACGUCCUGAGGGAGAAAGUGGGGGAUCUUCGGACCUCACGCUAUCAGAUGAGCCUAGGUCGGAUUAGCUAGUUGGUGGGGUAAAGGCCUACCAAGGCGACGAUCCGUAACUGGUCUGAGAGGAUGAUCAGUCACACUGGAACUGAGACACGGUCCAGACUCCUACGGGAGGCAGCAGUGGGGAAUAUUGGACAAUGGGCGAAAGCCUGAUCCAGCCAUGCCGCGUGUGUGAAGAAGGUCUUCGGAUUGUAAAGCACUUUAAGUUGGGAGGUAGGGCAGUAAGUUAAUACCUUGCUGUUUUGACGUUACCAACAGAAUAAGCACCGGCUAACUUCGUG
rnacentral:rRNA from 1 species